ACCUUUUGGCAGGGGAAAGGCACCCCAGGGCCGGUGUGAACGCGGCAUGGCACACCUUUCCUGCUCCUGGCACCACCUGGUGUUGGAGCAGCCUCUGGAGUCUGCCUUUGACUCCCCAGUCUGUUUGGCGUCUGCUCACCUGAGUUGUCCCGGCGCCAAGAUCUUGGGAGAAGUCAGCUGUUUUUAAACAAUCUUACUUAAAUUCACAGAACAACACAGCAAGGGAGGGCCUCUGUAUGUUGUCUACUCCAAAACAGGGUUGUUCCCCCGGCAUGGUCAUUUUCUGGCAAAUAAUAUGAACCCGAAGGCGGUGCAAAUUGAUUCCUAGGAAGCCUGACCUCCCUGUUGGGAACUACAAAGGGCUGUCCGAGAGGCUUACAAACAGCUGUCCCAGGCUGCUGCCUGGGCUUAAUCCUUCUGAUCCUCUUGGGAUCCUGAAAGCUACCUCUCCUGCAAUGCUAUCGCCACUCCUGAGGUACCAGGAGUGGGGGGAUGCCAAGAGACUGCAUGGAUGCCAGUGGUGACCCGAGUUUAUCAUAUCCCUCAAGAAGAGACCUUUAGGAUGCUAAGGAGAUUACCAGUCCCGAAGGAGUUCAUUCAUAUGAAAAUCUGAAUCAUGUUUUUAGUUAGAUGAAGCGCCCUGAAUGGUAGCAAUAAGUUUAUAACUUUAUAAGCAUGAAUAGCAAUUUAACCAAUUAAUCAAAAUCAAUGUACAUAUUAAUGAAUCAACACUAACAUGCUAGUAGAUCACUAUCAUUAAUAAAUGAAUCGCUGAUCAAUUAUUAAGAAAUUCAGUUCUAAGAAUUCAGUUCAUAUUUUAAUAUGGAAUACUGCUGUUAAUACUUUAUUAAUGAACUAAUACUAAAGUAAAUUAAUGUUUCUAUAAUACUAAAAUAAUGAUAAUAGCAUGCAAGUGCUACUAAGCUAAUUCUGAAAUCAGAUUACUUUCUACCUCCAUUUACAUUUACAACCCAAACUAAUGUUUUCCAGCAAAAGUUUGCAGCCAGACCAAUUGGACCCUGGGACAGAGGCCCUGAGUUAGGGUCAGUGGGACUAAUAAACUGCCCUCCCUUUUUGCUAUCACACAGCAUGGAAAGCAACCCAGAACACACCUAGUGUUCACAGGGGGAGGACCAUGCUCACAUAUUUGCUGCAGUUAUUUCCCGCCUCCUCCGUGACACUGCUGUGCCAGGAGAACAUCAGUUCCAUCAACAACAGUUUCAAUUUGCCAGUUUCUAAGCUUCACUCAUACAGAGGGCCCAAGGACGGCAUCUUCUUCACCCCACACUCACCACAGGUACAUCUUUCGGUAAUACAACGACCAUUCACCCUGUCAUCAUUGAUGAUGACACUUCAUUACCAUAUGGCAUCAUUUACUCACUGACGGUACUUCUAACAUCACUUGGGAUCAGUCUGCGUCAUUUACUUAGGUUGCAUCACUUGUUUAGUGGCUUUAUCCAUUACAUUGCUUAACAUUCAAAGACAUUAACUCUGUGCCUACAUUUUACUAUCAAAACACCUCAUUUAUUCAGUAAUUUUGAGCUACCCCUGAAGUUAGGUGGGGUUGCACAUACUGAGACAUUUUUUAAAGCCUGGCAGGAGUGGACAUUGCUCUGAGUUCAUUGCACAGUGUCAUGGGCUUUGUCCCUUUCCCCUAGUUGGUGGCAAACAGCGUUAAUGGGAAAGAUAGCAGCAGCAGAGAAAAAUAAAUAAAUACACUGUUAACAGAGUCAAAGGACACACUGCAUUCAUAUGCGAUGGUUUUAAGAAACUGUAGAAUAAGGUUGUGGGUUUUUACCUCUGCAUGAAAGAGACCAAAAUAUCUAUUUCCAAAGGAUAUAGUAAAUUCCAAUCCAGCUAUUUUAUUAUUGUAGCAAAAGAUUAAUGGUGAAAUGAUGUCAUCUUCUCAGAUCAGCAGUGGUAUUAGCAAUGUGUUGCAGGCAAACAGCAUUAUAAAUCGGAGACUGCAGAGUUUUCCUCCUGUUUGUUUCAGAUCAUUAGAAAAAUAUAUAAUUUAAUUUCUUUAAUUAAUUAAUCUGGUUUUAAUGGGUGAUUGCUGCUGAUUAAAACAGCAUAUUUCUUUAGGGGAAAAGGCUUCAAAUUUUGAAAUAAAAUGAGAAAUGCGUAAGAGGACAGUAGUAACCAUUUCCCCAUUUAAAGAGAAAGAAGAAGAAGGAAAAAUUUAAAAAGGAACAUGAAAGACGGUAAAAGAAGGAAAUAAAAAAAGAAUCAGAUGGGGACAACAGGCAAACAAUGAGGACGUACAGAGUUUUAAGAGACUAGCAGCAAACUGUGCAGGGCUGCAGUUGACUUGCCCAGAGCAUCCAGUGUCUGAGCAGGGAGUCCCAGCUGCUCAGGACUUGCAGCCACUGCUCUCCCCAGCGCACGUUUCCUGAGAACAGAGGCUCCCAGACUUUUUGUGUCCCUUACCAUCUUCUGUCCUUCAGCUCCAAUGUUCUGCAUUACUUCAUCUUUCAAGGAGAGAGCGUGUGCUCAUGGUGAGGCUUGUUGAAACCCACCACGCAUUCCCAUGCCGUACUCCACUUCUCAUCAGAACAGCACUGCAGCUCACCUGAGCCGAACCCCUGAUGCCAGUUCAUGGAGCAAAUUUGUUCAGCUGUGCUUUCUGAUUGGAGGGAGCAUUUUAACACCAGUGGUGGUAUGUGCUCUAUGGUGUGUCACUGCCAUGGAGUUGAAAAGUGGCUGACAGAGGGCACUUUGUUACCGUCUCCAUGUAGGAGGGUAGCGGCAGGCACAGGAGAUGUACAGCAGCAACAUUAACUGUAAUAAAAUAGAUGUAAAAGUGGAUUUCAAACAUUGCUGUGUUGCGUGGCUCAGGGCAAGCCCAGUUUAAGACAUUCUCCUCUGUUUCCUUGUAAAAUCCUGUGCUUCCCAAAAGAGGUAAAUUGUAUUUUUUCCAUACACACACAGCUUAGCACAGAUCAGCUGAGUCUGAACUGGAGCUGGCACCACCAGCAUUCUGCCGCAUCUUCCUCCCUGCAGACCGUGCCAGCACGCUUGGGCAGGUCCUGCAGCACAGGGCUCUGUAAGGAGCCUAAGAGUCAUUAAUUACAGAAUGGUUAAAACUAAAUUAUCUCAGCUGGACUGUGGGCAGGAGCUGGAAGAAGAAGAAGAAAACCUUACUCUACAAAAUCAGCAGUGAUCGGAUGGGAUUUCACAGCAGAAGUCACACAGCUAUGGCUUUGCAGUGACUCAGGGAGCCACGAGGGGAGGCUUCACAAUUUCUCCCCAGUCAGCUCCCAGCUUUAAACAGCGGAGGAAGUAACACAAAGAAUGCUCUUCUUACACUUCUUGCCAGCAUGUUUGUUCCCAGAGCUGUGUGCAAAAAAUCAUGGGAGAGCAGGAAGAAAUGGCUUUGCAGUGCUCAGGGCUGACUUUGCAACGUGGCAGAGGCCAUAAGAAGGCAGAUUUAUUGGGUCAAAGCAGUUACAGUAAAGGAAGACAAAUUCUGACUCAGUUCCAGGAAUGCCCUGCUUGCACAAGAAGGGCUGUUUCCUCGGGGCCGUCCCAUGCUGCAGCUUGUGCCUGUGCCCCUGGGAACAGCAUCUGGUCCCAGCAUCUCCAGGACCCUUUUGGGCUGAGGGAGAUACCUGCAGGGAAUUCCCCAGUGCCUCCUUGCCUGCAGCUGAGCAAGCCCCCAUCCUGAAGCCUCGCCUUGCACACCCUGGCCUCCACCUCUCUGAGGCCUCCCUGGGCUCACUCCUGUCUGGCAAUCCCUGUGAGCCCCAAACCAGUCCCAAUAUCUUGGUGUCAUCAGCCAAGUGCCAAGCAGAGGGGAACGCUCCCUUCCCUCAACCUGCUGUCUACCCCAAGUCACACUGAAAAAGAGGACAAUGUCUCCAGGUCAUCUUCAAGUCGCCUCAGCUGGAGACCAAAAUACCUGUCUGGAGCAAAGCUCUCCUUCCUGCUCAGUUUCAGGAUCUGAUCCUGGAGGCUUCUAUGGUUGCACCCAACUAUUUAUUCUUCACCUCACGUGAUUUUUGGAAUUUCCAAUUCAAAAUGUUUUGUGGAUUUUGUCCUACUGUGAUGCUGGCAACCAGGGACAGCACAAUUUUCUUUCUCAAACUGGGUUUUCUCAAUUUUCCCAGUAGGGGCAGCACUUGCUUUUCAAGUGAGUCUAAAGGAAGAAAACUAUCUGUAUUUAAAAAAAAAAUGAAUUCCUGUUUCUUGAAUAGCUUGAAUAGCAAGAAUGAUUUCAGCACGAAACUGAACAAAGUGGGUUUAGUAGUUAUCUUUUCUUUUUAAUGUUUAACAUGCUGCCUAAAGCUGAGGAGUGAUUUGUGUCCUGUGUCAUCACAUAAACUGCAUUACUUGUAUUACAAUAAGGUCUCUAAGUCAAACCUCUUUUUACUCUAGUAAUAAAUAUAAUAAUAAUAAAGAUAU